CGCCAUUAAAGCUUUUCCUGCAUACAUUGAUGUUGCAGAUGGAUGAUGCUAAGGGCAAGAACUUCAACCACCAAGGAGAGAUUCAAGGGACAGCAUCAGUGCAUUUUUAGCUGCUUCUGCUCCCCCAGAGAAGCUACAUUUUCAUGGCUUGUUCAAACCAAAACCAGAGCUCUUUUUUUUUUCAUUUACCAUUUUUUCUCUCAUAUUUUUGGUUUUAUUUUUUUUUUC